GCCGAUUGGGAGGGGGACCCUGAGGGUGGGGGCACCCUCAGGGCACUAUAGUGCCAGGAAAACGAGUAUGUUUUCCUGGCACUAUAGUGGUCCUUUAAGUGAAUGAUCAAAUCUUUAUUCAGACCAUUCGGUCAAUGGGUCCAUCCCACAUUUAGUAAAUUCCAUAAUUAAUGGGAUGAAAAUGUUAAUAAAAUGUCUUGC